CGGACGGGUGAGUAACGCGUGGGUAACCUGCCUUGUACUGGGGGACAACAGUUAGAAAUGACUGCUAAUACCGCAUAAGCGCACAGUAUCGCAUGAUACAGUGUGAAAAACUCCGGUGGUACAAGAUGGACCCGCGUCUGAUUAGCUAGUUGGUGGGGUAACGGCCCACCAAGGCGACGAUCAGUAGCCGACCUGAGAGGGUGACCGGCCACAUUGGGACUGAGACACGGCCCAG
rnacentral:rRNA from 1 species